rnacentral:rRNA from 1 species
GAUGAACGCUGGCGGCGUGCCUAACACAUGCAAGUCGUACGGACAGGCCAUUUGGGGGGUUUACGAGUGGUGAACGGGUGCGUGACAGGUGAAUGUCCUGAACACAACUUUGGGAUUACGAUAAGAAACUGGUGCCGAUACUGGAACUGUGCUAGUGUUGGAAGGUGGGGGUUGGAAAGCUACGGAGGUUGUGGAUGGCCCCGCGGCCCAUGAGCUUGUUGGUAGGGUAAUGGCUUACCAAGGCGGCGAUGGAUAGCCGAGCUGAGAGGGUGACCGGGCACACUGGAACUGAGACACGGUCCAGACUCCUACGGGAGGCAGCAGUAGGGAAUCUUCCGCACUGGGCGAAAGACUGACGGAGCAACGCCGCGUGAGUGAUGAAGGUCUUCGGAUCGUAAAACUCUGUUAUUAGGGAAGAACAUAUGUGUAAGUAACUGUGCACAUCUUGACGGUACCUACUCAGAAAGCAACGGCUAACUACGUG